AUUAACGCUAGCGGUGCGCCUAAUACAUGCAAGUCGAGCGGUAACACUUCGGGUGACGAGCGGCGAACGGCUGAAUAACACGUUGGUACGUACCCCAGAUUCAGGGAUAGCUCACUGAAAGGUGAAUUAAUACCGGAUAAGCCCGUAAGGGAAAAGCUUCGGCGAUCUGGGAGCGGCCUGCGGCCUAUCAGCUAGUUGGUAGGGUAAUUGCCUACCAAGGCUAUGACGGGUAGCUGGUGUGAGAGCACGACCAGCCAGAAUGGGACUGAGACACGGCCCAUACUCCUACGGGAGGCAGCAGUAAGGAAUCUUCCGCAAUGGGCGAAAGCCUGACGGAGCGACACCGCGUGAAGGAUGACACCUCUAGGGGCGUAAACUUCUUUUCUGAGUGAAUAAGUUCUGAAGUUAACUCAGGAAUAAGUGACGGCUAAUCACGU
rnacentral:rRNA from 1 species